CAUCCUGCAGGUGAUGGAGUCCACCUUUAACCGCUUUUUCUGGCUGAUGACUCCUGCAUAAUA
rnacentral:ncRNA from 20 species